rnacentral:rRNA from 1 species
AACGAACGCUGGCGGCGUGGAUAAGACAUGCAAGUCGAACGGGACUAAAUCUGUAGCAAUACAGGUUUAGUUUAGUGGCGAACGGGUGCGUAACACGUGGGCAAUCUGCCGAGAAGUGGGGAUAGCUCGCCGAAAGGCGAAUUAAUACCGCAUAUGAUCAGUGAAGACAUCUUCACGACAUCAAAGCCGGGGCAACCUGGCGCUUCUUGAUGAGCCCGCGGCCUAUCAGCUAGUUGGUGAGGUAACGCUCACCAAGGCUAUGACGGGUAGCUGGUCUGAGAGGACGACCAGUCACACGUGGAACUGAGACACGGUCCAG